AGGCAAUGCAUGUUUCAGACAAGUUGUUUUUUCGAUCCUUCCGGUACCUUGCUUGACAUUUUGCAAUGUAAUAUGCACCAUCAAGUUACUAAUAGCAUCAACAAGAAGUUACUGAAAGCUUAUUGGCAUCCAUAUCCAAUAGAUUCUCCGAAAUCACACUUAUUUAAAGUGGUCUCAAUAUCUGUUAUAAAGAUUCAUUGUUAUUAUUCAUUGUUAUUAUAAGGAUUACGCAACUUUGGAACGCACGUGAACAAUUUGAUCACUGUGACGUAUCACGUGAACAUUUUUUGCCAGUAAUUUAUGAGUGUAUUGUUUUUCGUAUUUUGUGUACAAUAAAAUGUUUUGUGUGUAUAUUAUCGAAGAAAAGGUCAAAUUUAUCGUAGAAUUACUAUUCAUGACAUGGCGCCCAACGUGGGGCAUUAAGCCCAAGACCGUAUAAUCGAUUUAAAAUGUCUUUGGAAGCGAAUACAAAGGAAAAAUUUGACCGUUUACGAGCGAAGCGAGGAGGCCAUCGUGGCGUGUGCACAAAGUUAGCAAAGGAAGCGGAAGAGGUUAUCCAAUCUCAAGACGAAGAAAAUAUCAAUCGAAGCGAAGUUAUUCAUUCGUUACUGAGCGAGAAAUUGAAAAUACUUAACGAACUGGACGAAGAAAUCCUUGGAUUAUGCGAAAUUAAGGACAUAGAAAUCGAAAUAGAAGAGUCAUCGGAGAUAGUGGCUCGCAUAUUAAACGCUACAAAGAAAAUCGAGAAGUAUAAACGAGGACAUGGAAACGUAAACAAGGUCAGUAAUCAAACGAUUGUGAAUUCGAGCGAGAAUAGUGCUGUAAAUACGAAUGAAACGUCAAGUAAUAUUGAGCAAACAAGCGAUAAUUUGAAUGAAACCAGUAACCAAGCAACAAGUCAAUUACAAGGGGAUCAUAAUGUAAACAUAUCGUCACAUUAUUCAAAUACAACCGUGUCAUCAAAACCAAAACUACCAAAGCUGACAUUACCAAAGUUUAGAGGUCAAGUGACAAUGUGGAAUACAUUUUGGGAUUCAUAUGAAUCAGCAAUACAUACAAACAAUGAUAUUUCAACCAUUGACAAAUUCAAUUACCUGAACUCUCUCUUAGAGGGUCCCGCAUUACGAGCUAUACAAGGACUUACAUUAACAAAUGCUAAUUAUGAGUCUGCCAUCCAAAUUCUCAAGGAUCGUUUCGGUAAGCCGCAACAAAUUGUAACAGCACACAUGGACGAAAUACUCAAGAUCCAAGCUUGCACUAGCGAUAAGUUAUCUGCUUUAAGAUUUGUAUACGACAAGAUCAGUGUACAUGUACGCGGCUUGGCUUCCUUGGGUAUCUCUUCAGAGCAAUAUGGAAGUUUAUUAAUACCCAUAAUCAUGUCAAAAAUGCCAAGCGAUGUUAGAUUACAAAUCGCUCGAAAGUCAACUAAGGAUGUUUGGGUAAUCGAUGAACUGCUUCAAACAAUCAAAAUCGAAAUUGAGGCGCGUGAAGCUAGCGAGGCAACCAAGGCAACUGAGAACAGUUCACAUAAAUUUCCGAAAUCGCAAGGUUCAGCAAAGGGAUAUAACCCCCCUACUGCUAGUAGUUUAGUAGCCAAAACAAAGGACGGUGGUAGUUUCAAAAUACAAUGUGUUUAUUGUGAAGGGAGUCAUUAUUUGGCUUCAUGUGACAAGGUUAUUAGUUCUGAAGCACGUAAGAAAAUUUUAGGAGAAUCUGGUCGCUGUUUUAAUUGUUUGUAUAAAGGUCACCAUGCCCGAGAUUGUACCAACCAGAGAAGAUGCCGUCAUUGCUCAGGUAGACAUCAGUCUAUCUGCGCUCGAAUCGAUAAGCAAAAAAAUAACGAAGCGACUAAACAUGAAGAUAAUCAACCGGAAGUAAAUUCGAAUUUGACAGUGACUGCCACACGAGUAUCUCAGGGAACUGUUUUAUUACAAACAGCUCGGGCGGUUGCAACAAAUGGUGAGAAAUCAGUACCAGUGCGAGUACUAUUUGACACUGGAAGUCAGCGGACCUACAUCACUAAUUCAGUUCAGAGACGGUUGAAUUUAAAGCCCACAUCGAGGGAAACACUUAAUUUGAAUACGUUUGGCAACAACAAAUUCAAGCGAAAGGAUUGUGAUGUAUAUAAGCUUACUUUAGAAAGUAGAACCGAUCGAGAUAGCGUCGAAAUUUCUGCCAUUAAUCUCCCCACUAUUUGUUCUCCUGUACGAACAAGGGUUAACACAAGUUAUGCACACUUAAGGGGACUGGAACUAGCAGACUACAACGAAGAGAGUAAGGAUGAUACUAUUGAUAUCCUUAUUGGGGCUGACCACUACUGGGAUUUUAUAACGGGAGACAUUGUUUGAGGUGAAGGUGGGCCCACAGCCAUUAGCAGUAAGCUAGGUUGGUUAUUGUCGGGUCGCACAACUCAAUCUUCAUCCAACAACCAUUCCAGCAUGUCCAACCUCAUUUUAGCUGGUGAUCCAUGCCAGAAUUCUGCCAUUCCAAAUCGAAACGAUGAAAUUGUUGAUUCACUAAAACGAUUCUGGGACACUGAAUCCAUUGGGAUCACUGAUAACAAACAAGAUUCCCACCAAGAUGACAAAUUUCUGCAAAACAUCCAAUUUACAGGUGAGCGUUACAAAGUGGGACUUCCAUGGAAAGAAGAGCGUCCUAUGCUAGACCACGACUAUGAUUUAUGUUACAACCGACUGCGUUCGUUGUACAGCAAACUAAAGAAACAACCGGAACUACUUCAAGAAUACGAUAAGAGCAUCAAAGAUCAAAUAGAAUUGGGAAUCAUUGAGGAAGUACCUCGUGUGAAUGGAAGCACAAGCAAUAACCAAGACAACGAUAAUGUACAUUAUCUCCCACAUCACGCUGUCGUGCGUGAAGAUAAAUCCACUACGAAAUUACGUGUAGUAUACGACGGUUCUGCUACUACCAAAGAACGGAACUAUUCACUCAACGAUUGCCUAUAUAUUGGUCCUAACAAUAUUCCUCAUUUAUUCAACAUACUCGUGAAGUUCAGAUCCCAUGCAGUUGGAUUGGUUGCAGAUAUAGAAAAGGCAUUCUUAAUGGUGGGCAUAGAUCAUGUGGACCGGGACAUGCUACGUUUUCUUUGGCUUAAGAACAUUCAGGAACCGAUUCCAGAAAUCAUCGAGUUUCGAUUUACCAGAUUAGUCUUUGGAUUAAGACCAUCGCCUGCUAUGUUGGGAGCUACGAUUAAUCAUCACUUGAAUUUAUAUGAAGACGAGAAUCCUGAUGCAGUCAAAGUAUUAAAGAAUGGCCUGUAUGUCGAUGAUUUAGUUUCUGGGGCUCCGAGUGAUGAUGAAGCAUUAGAUAUUUACAAGGGCACCAAAGGCAUCAUGCUAGCUGGUGGUUUCAAUUUACGUAAGUGGGCUUCCAAUUCGAAUACUGUUGUUGAAACUAUAACCCAGGCAGAGAGUAAUAUCGAUUCAGACAACAAACCCUCGUCCCCAGCCAUAGUACCCUCGUCCCCAGCCCUGAUCGAAGUACCCUCGUCCCAAGUCGUGAUCGAAGAACCCUCGUCCCCAGCCACGAUCGAAGAACCCUCGUCCCCAGCCAUAGUACCGUCGUCCCCAGCCAUGAUCGAAGUACCCUCGUCCCCAGCCGUGAUUAAAGAACCCUCGUCCCCAAUCGUAAUGGAAGAAACCGAGUCCUACACUAAAACAACAAUCGGUCAAGAAACCACUGUGACAAAGGAUAAAUGCGUCAAGGUACUUGGGGUCCUUUGGGACACUGAGAAUGACACGUUUAUGUUCGAAUUUUCGAGUUUGGUUCAAUAUGCUCGUUCCUUGCCUGCGACGAAACGCUCUGUGCUAAAGGUUACUUCGAAAAUCUUUGAUCCUGUUGGAUUUCUAACACCAUUUGUCAUCAAGAUGAAAGCAUUAUUUCAAGAAUUGUGUGUCGAAGGAAGUGAAUGGGACGACGAACUCAAACAUGGACUUCUAACCAAGUGGAACACAAUAUUAGUCGAGUUAAAUACCUUAAAUGAUUUACGGAUUCAACGAUGUUAUUUUAAAUCUACAGAAAAGCCGAUGAAGAUACAGCUACAUGGGUUUAGCGACGCCUCCAAAAUCGCAUAUGCCGCAGCUAUUUAUAUGAGAUCUUUAUACGAAAGUGGAAACAUCGAAGUAAGACUCGUAGCUUCAAAAUCGAAGGUGGCGCCGUUAAACGGACAAACGAUUCCUACGCCUAGAACUGUUAGGUGGCAAGAGUAACAAAGCGCAACUUCUCCGAAGGUCGAUUAGUCACCUGAUUCCAAUCGAAGUGAAGCAACCGCUUAGCGAGGUCAAGAAUAAAUCGGAAGCAACAAUUAGCGAACCGCCUGUAUCGUUAAAUACUCGUCCACGUCGUAUGGCGGCGGUCAUCGGAGAGCUUAAAAGAGCCGAACAACUGAAACAUAUCUGAAAACUUAAGAAAACUUAACGUAAUUACAGUAAUGUAUAUAUUCAUAUUUUAUCGAUUAUUGUCAACAUUGGGGAGUAUUGUUGAUCACUUGUACAGUGACUCAACGUUGGGGAGUGUUAUAAAGAUUCAUUGUUAUUAUUCAUUGUUAUUAUAAGGAUUACGCAACUUUGGAACGCACGUGAACAAUUUGAUCACUGUGACGUAUCACGUGAACAUUUUUUGCCAGUAAUUUAUGAGUGUAUUGUUUUACGUAUUUUGUGUACAAUAAAAUGUUUUGUGUGUAUAUUAUCGAAGAAAAGG